UAAUAACCAAUCCUCGGGAAAUCACUUCUCUCAGAUAACAUGUUAUGAUCCUUCUUUUCCUUCAAUGGAAGGAAGCCCAUCUCCUGAUUUCCUUCCAUUUUCCGUUCCGUCAAAAGGAAAGGUAAAAUAGUAACUACUCAUUACAUUCACAAUAUAACAGUCAUCGUUCUCAAUGACCCCCCGCCCUUCCUCUCUCUUCCAUUCUCGUAGACACUUCUCACUCUAUACUGCUUUCUUCUCUACACAAUCACAGCCUUCACAACCAUCACUAUCACUAUGCCCUGCACAUCAACCACUGAUAAAAGACACAAACACCCUCCAAAACCAUCAAUCACAGACAAACAACAAAGACCCUUUUCACUACCUGAAAGCUUUCUCUACCCUCGCCACAACCCUCUCCAAAAACCCUAGAAACCUCAAUGCUCUGAGCGCUCUAGACUCUCUGCUGUCUCAAACCCAUCUCUUCGAUUCGGCUACUUCAGUGUUUGUAAUUCAUUGUUUAUCUCAAUUGAAGAAGCUAGGAAGAGCGAAAUCUGCGAUUUAUAAUCUUAAAAGCAAAGGUGAAGUCUCUGAUUACUUUAUGUACAGCUUAGUAAUUGAUUGUUUGGUUAAAGAUGGUAAGAUCGACGAUGUUGAGACUGUGUGGAAUGAAAUAUGUGUCUCUGAAUUGUCGACAAUUCGACGAUUUGGUGUAUCGGAUUAUGUUAUACAUGUAUGCAAGUUUGGUGGGGUUUGUGAGAUUAAGAGUAUUUGUGAGAGAAUUUUAUUGGGUUGUGGGUUUUGAAGAAACAGAGCUAUAUUGCUUUGAUUGGGGCAUUGUGUAGAGCAAAUGAGGGAUUGUUAGCGAAAGAGAUUGUCAGAGAAAUGUACAAUAAUGGGUUUAUAGUUGAUGAUUUAACUUGUUUUGUGAUGUUUCAGUCUUUCUGUAGAAAUGGAGAUUUAGACGAAGCUGAUUUGAUUCUGAGGAAAUUGGUGAAACGAAAGUACCAUCUUGAUAUAUUUAUAUAUGGGAAUUUUAUACAUGGGCUUUGUAAAUCGGGUAAAUUUAGAGAGGCUAAUAAGCUGUUCCGAAAGUUGAUUCAAAGAGAUUGUUUGGGGGGUUCGAAAAAUGUUGAUUUUUUGAGGGAGGGGAGGAGGGUAAUCUUCCAAUUAAAUUGUGAGGGUGCAGUACCGGAAAUAAUAGCUUAUGAGAUGUAUUUUCGGUCAUUAUGUAAUGUUGGAAGGCUUGAUGAGGCUGAAGCAUUGCUGAAGAAGAUGAUGAAGAAGAGAGCUGUGCCUGAAAUUUGUGUAUAUGGCUUCUUUUAUUAAGGCUCUAUUUCGGGCUGAUAGGGACCAAGAUGCUAUGAAGUUCUUUAAUGUUGAGAGAAAGAAAGGGAUUGUUCGAGUUGAUGAGAUUGCGAGAUUUAUCAUCAUGGGGCUAUGCAAGAGGGGUAAAGUUGAUGCUUUCAGGAUUUUUGAUGAGGUUGUGACGAGUGCUGGGAUUGUCAGUUGUACAGGUAUAUGGAAUGGUUUGCUUGGCAGUUAUUGGAAAUUAGGAAGAGUCGCUGAAGCAGAGAGCUUGUUUGAGAGGUUCCGGAAUGGUAGUUUUGGACGGCCUGGUGUAUUAAUGAGUAUUGCAACACGGGAGAUGUUUCUAAGGCACUUUACUUAUUUGAAGAAAUGUUAACUAGUAACAUGGGGUUUAACGGAACAUUAUAUGAGAUGAUCAUUAAAAGAUUAUGUGCGUGUGGGAGGGUCAAGGAAGCACUUAAAUCCUUGAAUGACAUGAUUCAAGAUGGACAUUUAGUUUUCUUCACAAAAUGGAAAGUACUUUUCAAAUCAUUUACAGAAGUAGAACAUGGUAUUUCUUUUGGGUUUUGAACACGUGGGAAAACAAUUGGAAGAAAAUGUAUUUCUUUAUUGGAAUACUUGCAUUCGCAAGACAGGAGUUAUGUAGUUGAUCCCAUUUAGUUGGGGGAAAGAUUUUGUUGAGUUGAGUUGUGUUGAGCGGUACUUGCAUUCACAAACUCAGGAUAGAAAAGAUUAUUGGAAUGUGCUUUACAACGAUGUUGCAGACUUCACUCAUGAUAACUAUUGAGAGUUUAAUGGUGAUGAAUUCUUUAUUCAAAUUGAGAUCCCAUCUCACGAGUAUAUGGAGAUGUUUACCUGCUUUUGCCAAUUCAAAUUAUUCAAUUUUUUGUAUAUGGAAUUUUGUUAUUAGAGUUGCGCACUUUCAACUGUAGAAGUCAUGCAGCAUAUUUAUGUUUUCCACAGCACAUAGACCAUAGUUUGGGGUUGUAUGUUUUCAUCUACUCUGCCACUCCCAACUGUUGGAUUGGCAACAUUUCUUAUUGACAACAUGUUGGUACCACAGAGACGCGGUCAACUUGUUUUCGAUACAUUUCAUAAAUAUCUUUAAAGUACUUCCUGUGCAUGCAUGAGAUUCUACAAUUACACGUAGUUCACCUUUCAUGCUCUCAAAAUUUAUUCAAAGUCGUUGCUUCCCCUUUCUCUCUCUCUCUCUCCAAACGCAAUUUUGAAAUUCAGAUAAGAAUGAAUUGCCAGUGGUAUGACACCUCUUCAAGUUCAAGUACAUGUUUCAUAGAAGAGCAUUGUUUGUGAAGAGGAAAAAUGUGUGGACAUGGUGGAAUUGCAGAAUGCUCGUGUACGGUGGAAUGAGAGUUCAGAGUGCUAUUAUGUAUGCAACAAAUCGACAGUGUCUUCUUUGUGUGUGAUGGUGGUGGUCUCUCAUGUAAGAUUGGGGAGAUGUCAGUCAACCCCACAACGCGAACAGUAUGAUACGACAACCGAUGGAAAGGACGGCAAAGGUGGUGUUGGGUGCGGCCAUCGGAAGUCAAAUGCAAGAACUGCAAACUCUACUUAGUUUAUUAAUAAUUUUAACUAGUGUAUUAAUAAUUACCUAACGGAUUAGUAAUGAAUAAACACACGUAAUUUAAUUGAAUUUGACUUUCAUUUUUCUUUAACCUAAUAGUAUAAAUUUGGCUGACAUUUUGAUUCUUUGAAGCUAACAGAAUAUAAAAAAAUAAAAAAAUAAAAAAAAGUUCAUGCACAUGGGGCAAGUGAACUUUGAACGUUUGGGUGACAAUAAAAUCACAGAUUUCAAAGUUUGAAAAUUUUCAGAUUUUUUAUUAUUAUUUCUUUUUAAAACAACUCUUUCAACUUGGUAAAUUUUGGAAUAUC